AAAAACAGUUAAAAGGGAAGUAGGAUAGAAUAGAUAGAACAAAUGAUAUUUCACUCUAGAACCCCAACUUGCCUUGUCCGAGGAAUUUCGUACUGAAAUUCUCUGUGUUGGGGCCCCGAACCCCAACUUGCUUUGUCCGAGGAAUUUCGUACUGAAAUUCUCUGUGUUGGGGCCUCGAACCCCAACUAUGGAAUUGUUGUAUAUCACAUUUAAUUUACUAU
rnacentral:ncRNA from 1 species